UACGGAGGGGACUAGCGUUGUUCGGAAUUACUGGGCGUAAAGCGCACGUAGGCGGAUUUGUAAGUCAGGGGUGAAAUCCCGGGGCUCAACCCCGGAACUGCCUUUGAUACUGCAAAUCUCGAGUCCGGAAGAGGUGAGUGGAAUUCCUAGUGUAGAGGUGAAAUUCGUAGAUAUUAGGAAGAACACCAGUGGCGAAGGCGGCCCACUGGUCCGGUACUGACGCUGAGGUGCGAAAGCGUGGGGAGCAAACAGG
rnacentral:rRNA from 1 species